UACGUAGGGCGCAAGCGUUUGUCCGGAAUUAUUGGGCGUAAAGAGCUCGUAGGCGGUCUGUCGCGUCUGCUGUGAAAACUCAGGGCUUAACCCUGAGCUUGCAGUGGGUACGGGCAGACUAGAGUGCGGUAGGGGAGACUGGAAUUCCUGGUGUAGCGGUGAAAUGCGCAGAUAUCAGGAGGAACACCGGUGGCGAAGGCGGGUCUCUGGGCCGUAACUGACGCUGGAGGCAACGGAAAGCGUGGGGAGCAAACAG
rnacentral:rRNA from 1 species